rnacentral:rRNA from 1 species
CAGCAGCCGCGGGAAUACGAAGGGUGCAAGCGUUAGUCGGAAUUACUGGGCGUAAAGCGCGCGUAGGUGGUUCAUUAAGUUGGAUGUGAAAGCCCUGGGCUCAACCUGGGAACUGCAUCCAAAACUGGUGAGCUAGAGUACGGUAGAGGGUAGUGGAAUUUCCUGUGUAGCGGUGAAAUGCGUAGAUAUAGGAAGGAACACCAGUGGCGAAGGCGACUACCUGGACUGAUACUGACACUGAGGUGCGAAAGCGUGGGGAGCAAACAGGAUUAGAUACCCCGGUAGUCCCUGUCUCUUAUAC